rnacentral:rRNA from 1 species
CCUACGGGGUGCAGCAGUGAGGAAUAUUGGUCAAUGGCCGGAAGGCUGAACCAGCCAUGCCGCGUGAAGGUCAGUGCCCUAUGGGCGUUAAACUUCUUUUGUGCGGGAGCAAUAAUGGUCACGUGUGGCCAGACGAGAGUACCGUGCGAAUAAGCAUCGGCUAACUCCGUGCCAGCAGCCGCGGUAAUACGGGGGAUGCAAGCGUUAUCCGGAUUUAUUGGGUUUAAGGGGUGCGUAGGCUGUGAGGUAAGUCAGCGGUGAAAUGCCCCCGCUCAACGGGGUGAAGUGCCAUUGAUACUGCCUGGCUGGAAUGCGGAUGCCGUGGGAGGAAUGUGUGGUGUAGCGGUGAAAUGCAUAGAUAUCACACAGAACACCGAUUGCGAAGGCAUCUCACGAAUCCGCGAUUGACGCUGAUGCACGAAAGCGUGGGUAUCAAACAGGAUUAGAUACCCCGGUAGUC